GGGCGAUUCAAAAGUGGGCGAUGCCCAGAGCGGACAUGAAAAGACACUGACCGGGAUGUUACCGAUGUUAGCAGGUGCUAAUAUCAUUUAUGGUC
rnacentral:ncRNA from 1 species